rnacentral:piRNA from 3 species
GGUCAGUCGGUCCUGAGAGAUGGGCGAGC